rnacentral:rRNA from 1 species
UACAGAGAUGGCAACCGUUGUUCGGAAUUACUGGGCUUAAAGCGCACGUAGGCGGAAUAGUAAGCUAGAUGUGAAAGGCGGGUUUUUAAGGCCCGGAAGUCAUUUAGAACUGCUAAUCUUGAGUAUGUUAGGGGAGAGUGGAAUUCCUGGUGGAGCGGUGAAAUGCGUUGAUAUCAGGAGGAACGUCGGAGGCGAAGGCGACUCUCUGGGACAGAUCUGACGCUGAGGUGCGAAAGCUAGGGGAGCAAACAGG